CAGGGAAUCUUGCGCAAUGGGCGAAAGCCUGACGCAGCGACGCCGCGUGAGGGAAGAAGGCCUGCGGGUCGUAAACCUCUUUUCCAGGGGAAGAAACAAGACGGUACCCUGGGAAUAAGCCUCGGCUAACUACGUGCCAGCAGCCGCGGUAAUACGUAGGAGGCAAGCGUUGUCCGAAUUUACUGGGCGUAAAGGGAGCGCAGGCGGUUAGGUCCGUCGGUGGUUUAAUCUCUGGGCUUAACCCAGAGGCGUUCACCGAUACCACCUGGCUAGAGGGCGGUAGAGGAGCACGGAAUUCCUGGUGUAGUGGUGAAAUGCGUAGAUAUCAGGAGGAACACCAGUGGCGAAAGCGGUGCUCUGGGCCGUCCCUGACGCUCAGGCUCGAAAGCGUGGGGAGCAAACCGG
rnacentral:rRNA from 1 species